CACGCAUCGCCUGAUCCUUGCUCCACCUCAGUAUUAGACAGAGUAAGGUGAGCAAAGUUUCAGGUGUGUGGGUGA
rnacentral:pre_miRNA from 1 species